UAAUACGUAGGGGGCGAGCGUUGUCCGGAAUCAUUGGGCGUAAAGAGCGUGUAGGCGGCCCGGUAAGUCCGCUGUGAAAGUCGAGGGCUCAACCCUCGAAUGCCGGCGGAUACUGUCGGGCUAGAGUCCGGAAGAGGCGAGUGGAAUUCCUGGUGUAGCGGUGAAAUGCGCAGAUAUCAGGAGGAACACCGAUGGCGAAGGCAGCUCGCUGGGACGGUACUGACGCUGAGACGCGAAAGCGUGGGGAGCAAACAGGAUUAGAUACCCUGGUAGUCCACGCCGUAAACGAUGGACACUAGGUGUGGGAGGUGUCGACUCCUUCCGUGCCGAAGCUAACGCAUUAAGUGUCCCGCCUGGGGAGUACGGCCGCAAGGCUAAAACUCAAAGGAAUUGACGG
rnacentral:rRNA from 1 species